UACUUUUCAGCAGUGUAGGAAGGUGGGUAUGUUUAAUAGUCAUACUCAUUUUGACGUUUAGCUGCAGAAGAAGCACCGGCUAACUCCGUGCCAGCAGCCGCGGUAAUACGGAGGGUGCGAGCGUUUAAUCGGAAUUUACUGGGCGUAAAGCGCAUGCAGGUGGUUUGUUAAGUCAGAUGUGAAAGCCCGGGGCUCAACCUCGGAAUUGCAUUUGAAACUGGCAAACUAGAGUACUGUAGAGGGGGUAGAAUUUCAGGUGUAGCGGUGAAAUGCGUAGAGAUCUGAAGGAAUACCGGUGGCGAAGGCGGCCCCCUGGACAGAUACUGACACUCAGAUGCGAAAGCGUGGGGAGCAAACAGGAUUAGAUACCCUGGUAG
rnacentral:rRNA from 1 species